CGUACGAGUGCGUCGUGUGUGGCGCGGGGUACAUGCGCAAACAGUUGCUCUACCAGCACAUGAACAACAGCGGUCACUUAGCUGAAUCGAUCGUCGUAAAUCAGCCGAGAGUUACAAAACUAGGAGAAAACGCGUCACCACCAUCCGUUGUCGUCAAAA